rnacentral:rRNA from 1 species
CCUACGGGUGGCAGCAGUGGGGAAUAUUGCACAAUGGGGGAAACCCUGAUGCAGCGACGCCGCGUGAGUGGCGAAGUAAUUCGGUAUGUAAAGCGCGAGCAGCAGGGAAGAAGAUGACGGUACCUGAGUAAGAAGCCCCGGCUAACUACGUGCCAGCAGCCGCGGUAAUACGUAGGGGGCAAGCGUUAUCCGGAUUUACUGGGUGUAAAGGGAGCGUAGACGGUAGUGCAAGUCUGGAGUGAAAGGCGGGGGCUCAACCCCCGGACUGCUCUGGAAACUGUCCGGCUGGAGUGCAGGAGAGGUAAGUGGAAUUCCUAGUGUAGCGGUGAAAUGCGUAGAUAUUAGGAGGAACACCAGUGGCGAAGGCGGCUUACUGGACUGUAACUGACGUUGAGGCUCGAAAGCGUGGGGAGCAAACAGGAUUAGAUACCCUUGUAGUC